GCAAACUUGGUCAUUUAGAGGAAGUAAAAGUCGUAACAAGGUUUCCGUAGGUGAACCUGCGGAAGGAUCAUCAAUAGUCCUAAUACCUUUGUAUGUGAGUUGUUGUGGUAGUUUUACUACUACACUCUCACAUCACCCUUGUGUGCACUGUUAUUUGUGUCUUGGUGGACUGGGAGUGUGUAUAGUGUUGUCAUUACUAUUACUAUUGUUGUAGUGUGGCACGCCUCCCAGCCUGCCGUUAAACAUAUAUCUGACAAACUCUGUGAUAUUUUAUCAAGUUGUGUAAAUCUGUAUUGUUGUGCAGUGCCGUUGUUUAACAAUGUACUCACUACUAUAUAUACAAUAUCAUUACAACUUGCAGCGAUGGAUCUCUAGGCUCUGGCAUCGAUGAAGAACGCAGC
rnacentral:misc_RNA from 1 species